CCUACGGGAGGCAGCAGUGAGGAAUAUUGGUCAAUGGACGAGAGUCUGAACCAGCCAAGUAGCGUGAAGGAUGACUGCCCUAUGGGUUGUAAACUUCUUUUAUAUGGGAAUAAAGUGUUCCACGUGUGGGAUUUUGUAUGUACCAUAUGAAUAAGGAUCGGCUAACUCCGUGCCAGCAGCCGCGGUAAUACGGAGGGUCCGAGCGUUAUCCGGAUUUAUUGGGUUUAAAGGGAGCGUAGGUGGAUGGUUAAGUCAGUUGUGAAAUUUUGCGGCGCAACCGUAAAAGUGCAGUUGAAACUGGCAGUCUUGAGUACAGGAGAGGUGGGCGGAAUUCGUGGUGUAGCGGUGAAAUGCUUAGAUAUCACGAAGAACCCCGAUUGCGAAGGCAGUUCACUGGACUGUAACUGACACUGAGGCUCGAAAGUGUGGGUAUCAAACAGGAUUAGAUACCCCUGUAGUC
rnacentral:rRNA from 1 species